rnacentral:rRNA from 1 species
AGCGAACGCUGGCGGCAGGCUUAACACAUGCAAGUCGAGCGGGCAUCCUUGUGGUGUCAGCGGCAGACGGGUGAGUAACGCGUGGGAACGUGCCCUUCGGUUCGGAAUAACUCAGGGAAACUUGAGCUAAUACCGGAUACGUUCCAGAGCAGAAAGGUUUAUCUGCCGAAGGAUCGGCCCGCGUCUGAUUAGCUAGUUGGUGAGGUUAUGGCUCACCAAGGCGACGAUCAGUAGCUGCUCGGAGAGGAUGAUCAGCCACACUGGGACUGAGACACGGCCCAGACUCCUACGGGAGGCAGCAGUGGGGAAUAUUGGACAAUGGGGGCAACCCUGAUCCAGCCAUGCCGGGGGAGUGAUGACGGCCUUAGGGUUGUAAAGCUCUUUUCUCCGGGACGAUAAUGACGGUACCGGAGGAAUAAGCCCCGGCUAACUUCGUG